rnacentral:rRNA from 1 species
UACGUAGGGACCGAGCGUUGUCCGGAAUCAUUGGGCGUAAAGAGCGUGUAGGCGGCUCGCUAAGUCUUGCGUGAAAUCUCGGGGCUCAACCCCGAGCGGUCGUGAGAAACUGGCGGGCUAGAGUGCGGGAGAGGAGAGUGGAAUUCCUGGUGUAGCGGUGAAAUGCGCAGAUAUCAGGAGGAACACCAGCGGCGAAGGCGGCGCUCUGGGCCGGAACUGACGCUGAGGAGCGAAAGCGUGGGUAGCAAACAGG